AGGUUAAGUAAGUAAGGGCGCACGGUGGAUGCCUAGGCACUAGGAGCCGAUGAAGGACGUGACGAACGACGAAAUGCUUUGGGGAGCUGUAAGUAAGCCCUGAUCCAGAGAUGUCCGAAUGGGGGAACCCGGCAUGUGAUGCAUGUCACUCAUUACUGUUAAGGUAAUGAAGAGGAAGACGCAGUGAACUGAAACAUCUAAGUAGCUGCAGGAAGAGAAAGCAAGAGCGAUAGCCUGAGUAGCGG
rnacentral:rRNA from 1 species